rnacentral:lncRNA from 10 species
UUAUGCAUUUGCAUUAUUUCACAUCUUCAGAAUAACAAUACUAAUACAACCACUGCCAAAACUGCUGAAGUAGUUUAGCAUAUAUCUAUACUCUUUCUUUUUUAACUCUCAUCUUCAGAAUAACAAUACUAAUACAACCACUGCCAAAACUACUGAAAUAGUUUAGCAUAUACCUAUACUCUUUCUUUUUUAACUCUCAUUUUGUUUUAGUUCUACAAGUUUAAUGUUCUCCAAUCCUUUUAUUGAUGACUUUCUAGUCUUUCUGGUUGUUUAAAGCUUGUUCUUUUGUAGAUUACUUAGGAAAGGCUUUGGAAAACAAUAUUUCCCAAGUUUUUGCAUUCUAUAUUGGUUUAUGCCUUUAUAUUCACCAUUAAGUUUUGUUGGGUGUAAAAUCCUUGGCUCACAUUUUUUUCCAUCAGGAUAUCAAAUGUGGUACAACACUUUCUUAAAGCAUAAGGCAAUGCUGUUGAAAAGUCUGGUGAUGAUCUAAUUUUCUUUCCCUUUUAAGUAAUUAGUUUUUGUUUAGAUAACUAAAGGCAUUUACUUUUCAUGGUUCAGUAAUUUUACUAAAAUUUAUAUUAAUGUUGGUCUUUUUGGAUGUAUACUCUCUGGUGCUCUUUCAACAUUAAUUUCAAUUUUUCUUGUUAAUUUCAGGAUGAUUUUUCAUUAAGUAGAGUUUUUAGUAUUCUUUUCCUUUGAUUUUUGUCUUCAAGGACUACUAUUAUUCAUAUGUUGGAUAUUCUUUGCCUAUCUUCACUAUUUACCACUUCCUCUAGAAUCCUUUUUAUUUGUUUUAUUUUUUGAGAUGGAGUUUCACUCUUGUUGCCCAGGCUGGAGUGCAAAGGUGCAAUCUCGGCUCACCGCAACCUCCGCCUCCCGGGUUCAGGCAAUUAUCCUGCCUCAGCCUCCCAAGUAGCAGGGAUUACAGGCCUAUGCUACCACACCUGGCUAAUUUUGUAUUUUUAGUAGAGAGAGGGUUUCUCCAUGUUGGUCAGGCUGGUCUCAAACUCCCGACCUCAGGUGAUCCACCCGCCUCGGCCUCCCAAAGUGCUGGGAUUACAGGCAUGAGCCACCGCACACAGGCCUCCUUUUUAUUUUUAUUUUUUUAAAGAUUUAUUUUUACUCUUUUCUUCUUAUAUAAUAUGUAUUUCCUCUUAUGUUCUUUCUAGUUUAGUCUUAGUACCCAAAAACAUUUUUAUAUCUUUACUGAGAUAUGGUUCAAAUUAGAUACAAUUCAUCUACUUAAAAUGUACAAUUCAACAUUUUUAGGUAUAUUCAUAAG